ensembl:lncRNA
UUCUACGGCUGGUUACGGAUUACUUUAAUCAUCUCCAAAUGAAUCCAUUCCGCUUUCAUGAAAACUCAUAACAUGUUUUGCAUGCUACUUUGCAGUGAUAGACACUUUGCUCUCGUCUAGUUUGGCAACUCUCAGGCAAACGAUUCAGCGAGUCCUAGCGAAUCGAGUCUGUACAGUGUCUUUAUGCUAAUAAGGCUAAGUAGGCUGUUACUACACACUUGCUGAGCUGGUGCGAACAUGGAGCACGCAAGACUCCUUCUCCUUCUGAUCAUGGGAAACUUCCUCGCAAGUACCGAUCUUUUAGACUGCUCUGUGGAGAAUAACACCACCUGUGACUGCGUUCACAAUGCCACAUUGGACACUGCUGAAUAUUAUGAGAAGUACAGAGACUGCGAUUGGAGUUUGAGGAACAAGGAGGAUAUAGUUCUUCAACUACUAACUCCAGUCCCACAUGUAACUGUCCCAUGCAGCUGGCAUGAAGUUUACUUGAAGUUGAACUGCGACAGCCCAAAGCAUGAAGUGAUUCUGCAUUGGUACAAGUGUGCGUAUCCAUCUACUCCUAUUCUACCCUUUUCCUUCAAAUAACUUAGCAAAUGCUUUUUCACAUGAAUUAAUCAGUCUUUUCUGACUGUUUGCAGUUGAAAGCAAAACUGAACACAUCAGUUCUGGAGAAAGUGAGUAGAACAUAAAAAUAAGCCCUUCCAUUUUGUAUUUAGGAAUUUCAUGGUAUUUAUUUUCUGAGUAAUUCUGGAUAGCAGCUGAAAGUUUAUAGCCUUUCUACGUUAAUUUGGAACCCAGUUUCUGUGACAGAAGAUUGACAGAUGAUUUUGUCACUUAUUAUUCUGAAUGCCUCAUUGUAUUAUUAUUUUGCAUUGGUUUUAGCUCCCCUUCAAAGUCAUGUGAGCAUUCUGUGUCUGUGUCUGUGGUGCUUGAGGUACUUACUAUAAAGCACUGACAAAACAUGCAUGACCACCGACGAUGAUAGAAGUGUACAUUAUGCCAUCCACAAAAAAGUUACAUAGUUUAUUUGAUCUGCAAGAAUGAUUUUUAGAGUACUUUCUAGGAGUUUUAAUUCACUAUAUGGCCAAAAGUUUGUGGAAACCUGACCAUCCCAUCCAUACAGCCCUGAAUUAUAUUAGGGGGUGGGGCUUAAGCCCUAUGGGGCCUUCAUGUGUUAACAUGAAGUUCGUCUUCGUUAUGGUACUGUGUGUGUGUGUGUGUGUGUG